rnacentral:lncRNA from 1 species
AUGCUCAUAACUGGCCGGCUAACCCUAAUUAGGGUCGGCUACCCUAAAGCCUACGAGCCCAACAAUCUCCCACUCAGAGGCUUUGCAUAGUCCACAAAGUGCAUCCAAGAAACCCAUCACCAGUAACUUCAGUAAUCUUUACGUUCAAGUCUUCCCAGCCUCCAGUUCCAAGAAUAAGCUAAGACUUCAGUCACAUCCAAGCCACCUAGUUGCAACCACACCUCUCAUCAAGUAACUGAGAGACCAGUUGAAGCUCCCACAAGCUCCAACCCAACAGUCUUAUCAGACCCAUUCUCUAUCUCAACCGGCUUGCACAAUCCACCAGCUCCAGAGAUACACCGAGAAUUAAUACCACUCUCCACAUUUUGCAAACUAUUUCCAGGAGAGCUUUUUUCUUCAGUCGGAAUCUUCGUCUUCAAAACCCAAUGGUUCUUUGUGAUUGUACCCGGAACACGACCCAUGCUCCCACUAUCACCAAAUCCCCUGACUGGCUUAAACUUAGACCCCCGACCACAUUCAACUGACAUCCCCAAAGCACCAGGAUUCAAGUUCGCAAAUUGAACCCUCUUCCGCUUACUAGAUUCAGUGAACCAGACUUUAUGUUGUACAGGGACGGCUACUCCCUCAACAGGUAUCUCAACUAGAUACAACGAUCCUCGUCUCCUCCCACAGGCAACAACAAGAUUUCCAUCAAUCACCUUCCACUUCCCACCACCAAACUUAACAUCUAGUCCCUGUUUAUCCAGUUGACUAACAGAAAUAAGUUUCUUCGUUAAACCUGGAAUUACCCUGACGUUCUUUAAGUUCCAUGUAGUGCCCAGUGGAGUCUUCAGAUUGACGUCUCCCAUACCCGUAACAUUAAGAACAUGACCGUUAGCUAAUCGUACCUUUCCAAAGUCUCCUUUUUUCAGAUUCACCAUCGUCUCCC